rnacentral:rRNA from 1 species
UACAGAGGUCCCAAGCGUUGUUCGGAUUCACUGGGCGUAAAGGGUGCGUAGGCGGUCGGGUAAGUCUGAUGUGAAAUCUCACAGCUUAACUGUGAAACUGCAUUGGAUACUAUCCGGCUAGAGGAAUGGAGGGGAGACUGGAAUACUUGGUGUAGCAGUGAAAUGCGUAGAGAUCGUAAGGAAGACCAGUGGCGAAGGCGAGUUUCUGGACAGUUACUGACGCUGAGGCACGAAGGCCAGGGGAGCAAACGGG